UGAACACAGGGAGAACAUGCAAACUCCAUGCGGAUAGAGCCCCAGGCGUAGAUCCCCAGCACUGCGAGAUAGCAAAGCUGACCACUGCACCACCAUGUCAUCUAAAAGAAGGACAUGCGAAGCAUUCAAAAUGUGCAGAGGUUCUGGCCUCAAAAGCUAGGGGUUGAAAGACGUUGGAGCGUUGGGGAGAAAUAAUAUGGAGCCGAGGAUGGUUCUGGCUGGGCGAAUAGAUGGAAGACAGCCCCAGGGGUCCCGAGAAUCGAUUCACGUCCUUGGAGCAGCCUGACAGGUAGGCCACUGAGUGUAACUGUCGCUCCCGAUCAUGGUUGUGGACACAAACGG